rfam:Schistosoma margrebowiei strain Zambia genome assembly, scaffold: SMRZ_scaffold0000835
AUCCAGCUGACGAGUCGAAAGUGGGACGAAACGCACGUUCUGGAU